UCAACCAAACAAGUCAAAUAUAAGAUGUGAUAAGUAAUAACAAAAAUAAAUUCUCAAAAAUUAAAUUAAAAUAUACCAAACUGACGAGUCUAAGAAAAAAAAUCUAAAGCUCAUAAAUUAUAAUUAAUAUCCCAUAUUUGCAUUCCAUGGAAAAAACAUUAAAACAAGAAGGAAAAUGAAGCACAAAUAGCAAAAAAUGAAGAAAAUGUGGAACAUGAACAAAAAAGGAUUGAAAAGGAGAAGAACAGAAAGUGAAGAAGAGGAAGGGGAGGAGGAGAGGAAGGAUCUUUUAAUGAAAAAGGGAAGAAGAAGAGGAAUAGCAUGAGAAGAGAAAAGGAACAAAAAAAGGAAAAGGGUAACUAUUGGCAAAAAGCUUUUGGGAGACUUUGGGCAAUUGAAUGACGAUAAACAGUCUAGUGAAGGGUUGUGGGCAUGGGGUAUAGGAUGAUGACUGGAAAAUAGCUAGUUUAUGAGGCAUUAGGUUGGAAGAGCUGGGAAAAUAAUCAAAGUUAAUCAUUUCUCGGUGACGUUAUUUCCAUUUUUAAUUUACUUAAGAUUAUUUCGGUGAUAAUUGUAAUAAGAUUAUUUCCGUGAUAAAAAAAUGAAGUGAUAAAAUACCAAAAAUAAAAGAGAGUACACUCAACCACUGCCUAAGCAAUUGAGCCUCUCUAAGCACUUGUGCAGCUCUUUUGACAAGACCAAAAACCAAUAAAUGUGGUUCCAUAUUGUCGCUGAAAACCCAUUUCCUCUCCCUUUCUCUCCUAAGUUAACCUACAAGUCCUAAUCACACUUCUCCUCUUAGAGGUGGCUUAGUUACAAUUAUGACUUUGGCCCAUCCCCUGUGAUUUAAAUAUUUAAAACUUGAUCCUCAUUCUUGCUAAUAGCAUUGAAUUAGGAUGACAAAUAUCAUUUUUGUUCAAAGCUAAAAUAAACACCUUAAUAAGAUCCAAUCUAGGGUUGGCAAAGAACCAACCAUGGCAGUGUUAAUUUCACUUUGUUGCCUCCAAUAUUGAGCACAAAGAAGCAUCAUUGUCUUUGAAAUGGAUAUAGGGAUGCAAUGCAAAGGAAGUUGAAGAGAGAAGAGAAUGGGUGCUGCAUGGAUAUACACACACAUAUACACAAACACAUAUAAAUAUAAAUAUAUAUCUUUUUUAACAUUUUUACAAUAUCUAUCUCCUUUUCUGUAUUUAUUUAAAAGCAUAGUGUAGUAAAGUACUAGAUAACAUUUAGAAAUGCAGUUCCAUACUGUCGCUGAAAACCCAUUUCCUCUCCCUUUCUCUCCUAAGUUAACCUACAAGUCCUAAUCACACUUCUCCUUUUAGAGGUGGCUUAAUUACAAUUAUGACUUUGGCCCAUCCCCUAUGAUUUAAAUAUUUAAAAUUUGAUCCCCAUUCUUGCUAAUAUCAUUGAAUUAGGACAACAGGUAUCAUUUUUGUUCAAAGCUAACAUAAACACCUUAAUAAGAUCCAAUCUAGGGUUGGCAAAAAACCAACCAAGGCAGUGAUGUUAAUUUCACUUUGUUGCCUCUAAUAUUAAGCAGC
rnacentral:lncRNA from 1 species